rnacentral:piRNA from 1 species
UGAGAUCUUUUUUGUUUGGCUUAGAUUU